rnacentral:rRNA from 1 species
CCUACGGGUGGCAGCAGUGAGGAAUAUUGGUCAAUGGACGAGAGUCUGAACCAGCCAAGUAGCGUGAAGGAUGACGGCCCUAUGGGUUGUAAACUUCUUUUAUAAAGGAAUAAAACGAGGCACGUGUGCCGUUUUGCAUGUACUUUAUGAAUAAGGAUCGGCUAACUCCGUGCCAGCAGCCGCGGUAAUACGGAGGCUCCGAGCGUUAUCCGGAUUUAUUGGGUUUAAAGGGAGCGUAGCUGGGUUGUUAAGUCAGUUGUGAAAGUUUGCGGCUCCACCGUAAAAUUGCAAUUGAUACUGGCAGUCUUGAGUACAGUUGCGGUAGGCGGAAUUCGUGGUGUAGCGGU